rnacentral:rRNA from 1 species
ACGCACCUUUCGGGGUGAGUGGCGGACGGGUGAGUAACGCGUGAGAAUCUGCCUUUUGGUCGGGGACAACCACUGGAAACGGUGGCUAAUACCGGAUGUGCCUACGGGUAAAAGAUUUAUUGCCAGAAGAAGAGCUCGCGUCUGAUUAGCUAGUUGGUAGGGUAAAAGCCUACCAAGGCAUCGAUCAGUAGCUGGUCUGAGAGGAUGACCAGCCACACUGGGACUGAGACACGGCCCAGACUCCUACGGGAGGCAGCAGUGGGGAAUUUUCCGCAAUGGGCGAAAGCCUGACGGAGCAAGACCGCGUGAGGGAGGAAGGCUCUUGGGUUGUAAACCUCUUUUGUCAGGGAAGAAGAAAGUGACGGUACCUGACGAAUCAGCAUCGGCUAACUCCGUGCCAGCAGCCGCGGUAAUACGGAGGAUGCAAGCGUUAUCCGGAAUUAUUGGGCGUAAAGCGUCCGCAGGUGGCACUUCAAGUCUGUCGUCAAAGACCGGGGCUUAACCCUGGAAAGGCGAUGGAAACUGAAAGGCUAGAGAGAGGUAGGGGUAGAGGGAAUUCCCAGUGUAGCGGUGAAAUGCGUAGAGAUUGGGAAGAACAUCGGUGGCGAAAGCGCUCUACUGGACCUCAUCUGACACUCAGGGACGAAAGCUAGGGGAGCGAAUGGGAUUAGAUACCCCAGUAGUCCUAGC